rnacentral:miRNA from 1 species
UCUGGGGCAAUUAAGGUUACGA